rnacentral:rRNA from 1 species
GAUGAACGCUGGCGGCGUGCCUAACACAUGCAAGUCGAGCGAUUUACUUCGGUAAAGAGCGGCGGACGGGGUGAGUAACGCGUGGGUAACCUGCCCUGUACACACGGAUAACAUACCGAAAGGUAUGCUAAUACGAGAUAAUAUACUUUUAUCGCAUGGUAGAAGUAUCAAAGCUUUUGCGGUACAGGAUGGACCCGCGUCUGAUUAGCUAGUUGGUAAGGUAACGGCUUACCAAGGCGACGAUCAGUAGCCGACCUGAGAGGGUGAUCGGCCACAUUGGAACUGAGACACGGUCCAAACUCCUACGGGAGGCAGCAGUGGGGAAUAUUGCACAAUGGGCGAAAGCCUGAUGCAGCAACGCCGCGUGAGCGAUGAAGGCCUUCGGUCGUAAAGACUCUGUCCU